CCUGACAGCGGGGGAGAGCUGUGGAACCGUAUCUAGAGAGGUGAAAUUCAGAAACGGUGUUGUGGCGGGGCGCGGCGAAGGCGUCCGCCCAACACCUGUGUUCCGCUGAAGAUCGAAAGUUUAAGGAUCAAAGGCGAUUAGAUACCGCCGUAGUUGUCACCGUAAACCAUGCCGACCGGUUAUUCGCAUCAGUUUACGGUAGAACACUGUGAGCGACCAGACGGGAAGCCAGAGUCCUAAGGCUCCUGGGGGAGUAUGGUCGCAAGGCUGAAACUUAAAGGAAUUGACGGAAUGACACCACCAGGAGUGGAGCCUGCGGCUUAAUUUGACUCAACGCGGGGAAACUUACCCGGCCUGGACACUGCUAACGACUGACAGGCUGAGAGACCUUUCUCGAUGCGGUGGAUGGUGGUGCAUGGCCGUUCCUGGUUGGUGGAGUGAUCUGUCUGGUCAAUUCCGAUAACGAACGAGACUCUAGCCUGCUAACUAGCCGAGCGACGAACCGGUUAACCAAACCCGGCGUCGCCCGCACUUCUUAGAGGGACAAACGGCCCCGAGCCGUAUGAAAUAGGGCAAUAACAGGUCUGUGAUGCCCUUAGAUGUUCGGGGCCGCACGCGUGCGACAAUGGUGGAACGAGCGCGUGUCCGUCCAAUCCUGGUCCAAGCGGACACGGUGAACCGCUCAAUCUCUUCCGUACUCGGGACUGAGGUGUGGAACCCUUCUCACGAACGAGGAAUUCCUAGUAGGUGCGGGUCACUCAUCUUGCGCCGACUACGUCCCUGUCCUUUGUACACACCGCCCGUCGCUACUACCGAUUGAAUGAUUUAGUGAGACUAUCGGACCGGACCCCACGCUCGCGUGGGCCAAGGGAAGAUGACCAAACUGUACCAUUUAGAGGAAGUAAAAGUCGUAACAAGGUUUCC
rnacentral:rRNA from 1 species